rnacentral:rRNA from 1 species
GGGCUNGCGACUGCUUACCAUGCAGUCGACGAUGGUCCCCAGCUUGCUGGGGGGAUUAGUGGCGAACGGGUGAGUAACACGUGAGUAACCUGCCCUUGACUCUGGGAUAAGCCUGGGAAACUGGGUCUAAUACCGGAUACGACCGCUCCGCGCAUGCGGUGGUGGUGGAAAGCCUUGUGCGGUUUUGGAUGGACUCGCGGCCUAUCAGCUUGUUGGUGGGGUAAUGGCCUACCAAGGCGACGACGGGUAGCCGGCCUGAGAGGGUGACCGGCCACACUGGGACUGAGACACGGCCCAGACUCCUACGGGAGGCAGCAGUGGGGAAUAUUGCACAAUGGGCGCAAGCCUGAUGCAGCGACGCCGCGUGAGGGAUGACGGCCUUCGGGUUGUAAACCUCUUUCAGUAGGGAAGAAGCCGCAAGGUGACGGUACCUGCAGAAGAAGCGCCGGCUAACUACGUGCCAGCAGCCGCGGUAAUACGUAGGGCGCAAGCGUUAUCCGGAAUUAUUGGGCGUAAAGAGCUCGUAGGCGGUUUGUCGCGUCUGCUGUGAAAGACCGGGGCUCAACUCCGGUUCUGCAGUGGGUACGGGCAGACUAGAGUGAUGUAGGGGAGACUGGAAUUCCUGGUGUAGCGGUGAAAUGCGCAGAUAUCAGGAGGAACACCGAUGGCGAAGGCAGGUCUCUGGGCAUUAACUGACGCUGAGGAGCGAAAGCAUGGGGAGCGAACAGGAUUAGAUACCCUGGUAGUCCAUGCCGUAAACGUUGGGCACUAGGUGUGGGGGACAUUCCACGUUUUCCGCGCCGUAGCUAACGCAUUAAGUGCCCCGCCUGGGGAGUACGGCCGCAAGGCUAAAACUCAAAGGAAUUGACGGGGGCCCGCACAAGCGGCGGAGCAUGCGGAUUAAUUCGAUGCAACGCGAAGAACCUUACCAAGGCUUGACAUGGACUAGUAACGCCUGGAGACAGGCGCCCCCCUUUGGGGCUGGUUCACAGGUGGUGCAUGGUUGUCGUCAGCUCGUGUCGUGAAGAUGUUGGGUUAGUCCCGCACGAGCGCAACCCUCGUUCUAUGUUGCAGCGCGUGAUGGCGGGGACUCAUAGGAGACUGCGGGGUCAACUCGGAGGAAGGGGGGGACGACGUCAAUCAUCAUGCCCCUNNGGUCUGGGCCUUCCACGCAUGGCUACA